UACAGAGGUCCCAAGCGUUGUUCGGAUUCACUGGGCGUAAAGGGUGCGUAGGCGGCCCGAGAGGUCCUGGGUGAAAGGCCCCGGCUCAACCGGGGAGGGCCCCAGGAAACCGGCGGGCUAGAGGGCUGGAGAGGGCCGCGGAAUUCCCGGUGUAGCGGUGAAAUGCGUAGAUAUCGGGAAGAACACCAGUGGCGAAGGCGGCGGCCUGGACAGAACCUGACGCUGAGGCACGAAAGCUGGGGGAGCGAACAGG
rnacentral:rRNA from 1 species